rnacentral:tRNA from 1 species
CAGAGAGUAGUUUAGUUGAAAAUGCCAGCUUUGGGAGUUGGUGAUGAAGGUUUGAUCCCUUUCUCUUUGA